AGGUACUAACAAAGUUUUAGUUAAACCAAUAUAACUUGGCGGCAUUUCAUUUUAUUAGAGGAACCUGUUCACUAAUCGACACUCCACGAUUAAUUUCACUUAUAAUAAAAUUUUAUAUACCGCCAUAUCAGAAUCAAUUAAGAAAUUUGUUUCAAAAUAUAUUUUAUCAAAAUAUAGGUAAAGGUGUAGACAAUAUAUAAGUCUGAAUGGGUUACAAUAAAAACAUUUAAGGAUAAAUAAAUAAAAUUUUACUUUUAAAGAGGAUUUAUAAGUAACUUUUAACUAUUAAUUUAAAUUGAACAAAAUAAAGAUGUGU
rnacentral:rRNA from 1 species